GACGAACCGAGCGAACGUUGUUCGGAAUCACUGGGCUUAAAGGGUGCGUAGGUGGCCAACUAAGUCAGACGUGAAAUCCCUCGGCUUAACCGGGGAACUGCGUCUGAUACUGGAUGGCUUGAGUUCGGGAGAGGGACGCGGAAUUCCAGGUGUAGCGGUGAAAUGCGUAGAUAUCUGGAGGAACACCGGUGGCGAAGGCGGCAUCCUGGACCAAUAUUGACGCUGAGGAGCGAAAGCCAGGGGAGCAAACGGG
rnacentral:rRNA from 1 species